GAUGAACGCUGGCGGCGUGCCUAAUACAUGCAAGUCGAGCGAACAGACGAGGAGCUUGCUCCUCUGACGUUAGCGGCGGACGGGUGAGUAACACGUGGAUAACCUACCUAUAAGACUGGGAUAACUUCGGGAAACCGGAGCUAAUACCGGAUAAUAUAUUGAACCGCAUGGUUCAAUAGUGAAGGACGGUUUUGCUGUCACUUAUAGAUGGAUCCGCGCCGCAUUAGCUAGUUGGUAAGGUAACGGCUUACCAAGGCAACGAUGCGUAGCCGACCUGAGAGGGUGAUCGGCCACGCUGGAACUGAGACACGGUCCAGACUCCUACGGGAGGCAGCAGUAGGGAAUCUUCCGCAAUGGGCGAAAGCUUGACGGAGCAACGCCGCGUGAGUGAUGAAGGUCUUCGGAUCGUAAAACUCUGUUAUUAGGGAAGAACAAAUGUGUAAGUAACUAUGCACGUCUUGACGGUACCUAAUCAGAAAGCCACGGCUAACUACGUG
rnacentral:rRNA from 1 species